AUUGCUAUUGGGAUUCGAUUUAGCCAUGCUAGUCGAACGAGUUCAGACUCGUGGCGAAUAGCUCAGUAACACGUGGCCAAGCUCCCCUUCAGUCAGCGAUACCCUCGGGAAACUGAGGUUAACAGUUGAUACAAAACGCCAGCUGGAAUGCGGCGUUUCAGAAAGACAUCGCUGAAGGAUGCGGCUGCGGCCGAUUAGGUAGACGGUGGGGUAACGGCCCACCGUGCCAGUAAUCGGUACGGGUGAUGAGAGUCAGAGCCCGGAGACGGAAUCUGAGACAAGAUUCCGGGCCCUACGGGGCGCAGCAGGCGCGAAACCUUUACACUGCACGGAAGUGCGAUAGGGGAAUCCCAAGUGCGAGGGCAUAUUAGCCCUCGCUUUUCUCGACUGUAAGGUGGUCGACGAAUAAGAGCUGGGCAAGACCGGUGCCAGCCGCCGCGGUAAUACCGGCAGCUCAAGUGAUGUCCCAUAUUAUUGGGCCUAAAGCGUCCGUAGCUGGCCGACCAAGUCUACCGGGAAAUCCACCCGCCCAACGGGUGGGCGUCCGGUAGAAACUGGCCGGCUUGGAACCGGAAGGCUCAGAGAGUACGUCCGGGGUAGGAGUGAAAUCCCGUAAUCCCGGACGGACUACCGAUGGCGAAAGCACUCUG
rnacentral:rRNA from 1 species